rnacentral:rRNA from 1 species
GCGGGAAGAGCUCAAAUUUAUAAUCUGGCACCUUCGGUGUCCGAGUUGUAAUCUCUAGAAAUGUUUUCCGCGUUGGACCGCACACAAGUCUGUUGGAAUACAGCGGCAUAGUGGUGAGACCCCCGUAUAUGGUGCGGACGCCCAGCGCUUUGUGAUACAUUUUCGAAGAGUCGAGUUGUUUGGGAAUGCAGCUCAAAUUGGGUGGUAAAUUCCAUCUAAAGCUAAAUAUUGGCGAGAGACCGAUAGCGAACAAGUACCGUGAGGGAAAGAUGAAAAGCACUUUGGAAAGAGAGUUAACAGUACGUGAAAUUGUUGGAAGGGAAACGCUUGAAGUCAGACUUGCUUGCCGAGCAAUCGGUUUGCAGGCCAGCAUCAGUUUUCCGGGAUGGAUAAUGGUAGAGAGAAGGUAGCAGUUUCGGCUGUGUUAUAGCUCUCUGCUGGAUACAUCUUGGGGGACUGAGGAACGCAGUGUGCCU